AACCGCUGUCCACUCCUCUUUAUUCUUCUUCUUUUCGCCUCUUUCCUUAUUUUUCUUUAUUUUCACAAUUUUUAUUUGUCUUGUGAGGCGUUCAGAACCAUGUUUCUUAAAGCCUAUCUUUUUUUUUUUUUUUUCUAAACAAACUUAUCUUUUAUUUUCUUUUCUUUAGUUAAUUUUUUUUUUAGUGUUUGUCGAAUAAAUUAACACGAAG
rnacentral:lncRNA from 1 species